GAUGAACGCUGGCGGCGUGCUUAACACAUGCAAGUCGAACGGAAAGGCUCCUGCUUGCAGGGGUACUCGAGUGGCGAACGGGUGAGUAACACGUGGGUGAUCUGCCCUGCACUUCGGGAUAAGCCUGGGAAACUGGGUCUAAUACCGGAUAGGACGAUGGUUUGGAUGCCAUUGUGGAAAGUCUUUCGGUGUGGGAUGAGCUCGCGGCCUAUCAGCUUGUUGGUGGGGUAAUGGCCUACCAAGGCGUCGACGGGUAGCCGGCCUGAGAGGGUGUACGGCCACAUUGGGACUGAGAUACGGCCCAGACUCCUACGGGAGGCAGCAGUGGGGAAUAUUGCACAAUGGGCGCAAGCCUGAUGCAGCGACGCCGCGUGGGGGAUGACGGCCUUCGGGUUGUAAACUCCUUUCGCUGGGGACGAAGCGCAAGUGACGGUACCUGGAGAAGAAGCACCGGCUAACUACGUG
rnacentral:rRNA from 1 species